rnacentral:SRP_RNA from 1 species
GCUGGGCGAGGUAGUGCACACCUGUAGUCCCAGCUACUGGGGAUGCUGAAAUAGGAGGAUCUCUUGAGUCACUGAGUUCUGUUUCCAGAACUCAGUGCACUGUGCAGAUCAGGUGUCUGCAUUAAGUUCAGCAUCAAUAUGACGACCUCCCAGGAGCUGGGACCACCAGGGUGCCCAGGUUGGAAAUGGAGCAUGUCAAAACUCAAGUGCUGAUCAGUAAUGGGAUCUUGCCUAUGAAUAUCCACUGCACUCUAUACUGGACAACAUAGCAAGGACACAAACUCA